CCUACGGGGGGCUGCAGUGGGGAAUAUUGGACAAUGGGGGCAACCCUGAUCCAGCCAUGCCGCGUGUGUGAAGAAGGCCCUCGGGUUGUAAAGCACUUUCAGUGAGGAAGAACGCCUGGUGGUUAAUACCCAUCAGGAAAGACAUCACUCACAGAAGAAGCACCGGCUAACUCCGUGCCAGCAGCCGCGGUAAUGCGGAGGGUGCGAGCGUUAAUCGGAAUUACUGGGCGUAAAGCGCGCGUAGGUGGCUUGAUAAGCCGGUUGUGAAAGCCCCGGGCUCAACCUGGGAACGGCAUCCGGAACUGUCAAGCUAGAGUGCAGGAGAGGAAGGUAGAAUUCCCGGUGUAGCGGUGAAAUGCGUAGAGAUCGGGAGGAAUACCAGUGGCGAAGGCGGCCUUCUGGACUGACACUGACACUGAGGUGCGAAAGCGUGGGUAGCAAACAGGAUUAGAUACCCCAGUAGUC
rnacentral:rRNA from 1 species